rnacentral:misc_RNA from 1 species
UCUCCGUUGGUGAACCAGCGGAGGGAUCAUUACAGAGUUGCGAAACUCCCAGACCAUUGUGAACGUUACCUAUCCCGUUGCUUCGGCGGGCGGCCCGGGCCCCGCGCCCGGCGCCCCCCGGCCCCCCGUGGGCGCCCGCCGGAGGUAAACCAAACCCUUGAAUUGCAUGGCCUCUCUGAGUCUUCUGUACUGAAUAAGUCAAAACUUUCAACAACGGAUCUCUUGGUUCUG